rnacentral:lncRNA from 1 species
AUUUUAUAGUGUAAAUCAUGGAUGUCCAACCUUUUGGCUUGCCUGGGCCCCACUGAGUGAAGAGGAAUUGUCUUGGGCUGCAAAUAUAUAGGUGCCUCCAAAAGUAAUGCCUCCUAUUAAUUUCUGUGGAAACUACAACAGAUACAGUGAGUACAGUAACACUGCUUGAUAGAGCAAAUUCUCAGCUACAAAACACCAUUUUUCAACAUAGCCACCACCAGUAGCUCUGCAUUUUUAUCAGCAAUGAAUAGGAGCCUGCAUGCCAUGCCUGUAAAAGCCUGCACCAGCAGAGAUGACCCACUGUUACUGUUGCCGAAACGUACCACCCACUGCCUCACUGUGCUCACAUCCACUGUUUAUUCUCCAUCAACAUUCAGCAAGCACUGGUGAAUGUCAAUGGCGGACAUUUUUCUACAUUGAGGAAUUCAGUGACACAUCUUUGUCUCAUAUGCACUUGCAUGUCAAAUGCCAUUCUGUCAGACUGCCCCUUUGUUGCCACCUGUCACAUGGCAACAGAAUGUAGUGGGAUAUUGGUGGGAAGGUUCAAGUGUGCUGUUCACAGGACUGUGUCCAGGCAAUGUAUCAAAAUGCAUAAAAUUAUUUGCCAUAACUUGAGUCAGCACUGUACUGUUCACUCUCCUUGUCCUGGUUUCAGCCCAGAUAGGGUUAAUACUGCACCGAUGUUUGGUUGUUGCUGGGUGACGGGUGUGUGCCAGUCACCGCCAUGAUGGCUGGGAGUGGGCUCCACUGUGAGCUAUGAUGGGCCAUGUGCAGCCUGCGGGCUGCAGGUGGGACAUGCCUGAUGUAAAGGCUAAGAGUUCUUCUGCUGAUAAAAAUUGCAGUCAUCCAUUACUGGAAAAAUGCUACUUAAUUGCAGGAAAUGGAGAUUACACGUGACAGUAAGUUUAAAAUUUAUCAUAAAAUGAGACAUUCUACUGAAACAUGUUCAUGUUCAUUGAGUCCGUGCUUUGCAUUCUUCACAUUCCAGGUAGGCCUCUACUGGGAUACUAGGACACAGAAGCUGCCUUCUAAGGAGUACACUCAGCUCAUUAGUGAGCUCCCUGUGCAACCUCCUCCCCCCUACCACCCAAAGGAGGUUUCCUUCUUGGGCUCAAGCUCUGUUCAGAGAUGCUGCAGCUGUAACCUUGAAUCAGAGACAGUCAUGAAGACACUCAGUAUGUGAGAAGGAGCUGUGGGAAACCUCAUACAGUGCUUCUGCGAGUGAGGCUUUUGUCCUGCUGGCCAUGCUGUGUCACUGAGCUUCCGGUUCACCAUCUUUUGCAGAGACACCUACCCUUGCUGCUCCCUUUGUAUCACUCAUCAGUGACCUUCAUCACUAACUUCAUAUUUGUUUGCUUGGGAAGCUGGAAACCUACAGGACCUCUGGAAGGAACAAAUAGGAUUUAGGCCUCAGGAACAUGCCUAUGCCCUGUUCUAUUUUUGUGAAAUCUGUGUCCCAGGGGGUUGUCGUGGAGCCCAACCUGCACUGCAUCAGCAAGCUCUGGCAGCUGUUCAACUCUGCACAGGGACCAUUCACCCUCCUUCUGAUAGUCAGUUUCUCCCAUGAGUGAGAGAGCAUUGUUUCAGGUUCAUACUGGCUGUUUUGCUCUUGUAGAAGGACUCUUACAGUGCUUGGUUGGUAUUCCUUGCCAAGAAGUAGUGACUGUCCUGGCUAGUGGAUGAGGCUAAUGAUGUUCUUUUGACUGUGUCACUGGCAUUCAUUGUCAAUUUACUUCAGGUGUGAGGUCCAGAGUUUUUCUUCAGUCUUCUGAAACAAACUUGGACAGGAACUUUAGCCUACGCAUACAAAUACUCUGUUAUAACACGGUAUUAUGUGAAAAUCUGUCAAAUAGCAGUCUGUAGGAGUCCAGGCUUUCACACCAGCAUUACAA